rnacentral:rRNA from 1 species
CAAUAAGCGGAGGAAAAGAAACCAACAGGGAUUGCCCUAGUAACGGCGAGUGAAGCGGCAACAGCUCAAAUUUGAAAUCUGGCGUAAGCCCGAGUUGUAAUUUGUAGAGGAUGCUUCUGGGUAGCGGCCGGUCUAAGUUCCUUGGAACAGGACGUCAUAGAGGGUGAGAAUCCCGUAUGUGACUGGCUUGCACCCUCCACGUAGCUCCUUCGACGAGUCGAGUUGUUUGGGAAUGCAGCUCUAAAUGGGAGGUAAAUUUCUUCUAAAGCUAAAUACCGGCCAGAGACCGAUAGCGCACAAGUAGAGUGAUCGAAAGAUGAAAAGCACUUUGGAAAGAGAGUUAAAAAGCACGUGAAAUUGUUGAAAGGGAAGCGCCCGCAACCAGACUUUGCGGCGGUGUUCGGCUGGUCUUCUGACCGGUUUACUCGCCGCCGUGAGGCCAUCAUCGUCUGGGACCGCUGGAUAAGACCUGAGGAAUGUAGCUCCCUUCGGGGUGUGUUAUAGCCUCUGGUGAUGCAGCGCGUCUCGGGCGAGGUCCGCGCUUCGGCAAGGAUGAUGGCGUAAUGGUUGUCGGCGGCCCGUCUUGAAACACGGACCAAGGAGUCUAACAUCUAUGCGAGUGUUCGGGUGUCAAACCCCUACGCGUAAUGAAAGUGAACGGAGGUGGGAACUUUUUGUGCACCAUCGACCGAUCCUGAUGUCCUCGGAUGGAUUUGAGUAAGAGCAUAGCUGUUGGGACCCGAAAGAUGGUGAACUAUGCCUGAAUAGGGUGAAGCCAGAGGAAACUCUGGUGGAGGCUCGCAGCGGUUCUGACGUGCAAAUCGAUCGUCAAAUUUGGGUAUAGGGGCGAAAGACUAAUCGAACCAUCUAGUAGCUGGUUCCUGCCGA